UGCCACGGUGAAAGCGAAUGGAUUGGCUGC
rnacentral:piRNA from 1 species